UACGUAGGGGGCAAGCGUUGUCCGGAUUUAUUGGGCGUAAAGAGCGUGUAGGCGGCUUUGCAAGUCCGUUGUGAAAACUCGAGGCUCAACCUCGAGACGCCGGUGGAAACUGCAAAGCUAGAGUCCGGAAGAGGAGAGUGGAAUUCCUGGUGUAGCGGUGAAAUGCGCAGAUAUCAGGAAGAACACCCGUGGCGAAGGUGGCUCUCUGGGACGGUACUGACGCUGAGACGCGAAAGCGUGGGGAGCGAACAGG
rnacentral:rRNA from 1 species